AUCCAGAUGACGAGUCCCAAAUAGGACGAAAUGCACAUUCUAAAU
rnacentral:hammerhead_ribozyme from 1 species